rnacentral:rRNA from 1 species
ACACGCAUGACACACUGCAUAUCAAUAAGCGGAGGAAAAGAAACUAACAAGGAUUCCCUUAGUAACGGCGAGUGAAGCGGGAAGAGCUCAAAUUUGAAAUCUUCAAGGGUUUACCUUUACGAAUUGUAGUUUAAAGAAGUGUUUUCUGUUGGAGUUUUCGGUAAAAGUUCUUUGGAAUAGGACAUCAUAGAGGGUGAGAAUCCCGUAUUUGACCAGUUACUUUCCAGCUGUGUGAUACACUUUCAAAGAGUCGGAUUGUUUGGGAAUGCAGUCCAAAAUGGGUGGUAAAUUUCAUCUAAAGCUAAAUAUUGGCGAGAGACCGAUAGCGAACAAGUACCGUGAGGGAAAGAUGAAAAGAACUUUGAAAAGAGAGUUAAACAGUACAUGAAAUUGUCAAAAGGGAAGCGUUUGACACCAGUGUUGUUUAGUUGAAAAUCAAUUCAAUAGUUUUUGAUUUUGAGUAGUAUUGACUUCAUCAGCUUGCUGCUCUCUUUUCGGAAAUUAUUGAAUGCACUUUUCAGUUAACAAGUCAACAUCAAUUUCUUUUGUUGUAAAAGGGUAAGAGGAAGGUGGCUUACGUUUCGGCGUAAGUGUUUAUAGCCUUUUACCUCUGCAAUCGGAGAGAUUGAGGACAGCAGCGUAGAUCCUUCGGGGUUAGAUACACUUGUGCUAAGCUAUAGCCUUGUAUAGACAACUUGUUGACUAUGCUCAGUCAUGUAGCUUACUCGCUUGUGCUAUUUUACCUACGCUUAGGAUGUUGAGUCGUAGAGCACGCAG